rnacentral:rRNA from 1 species
GAUGAACGCUGGCGGCGUGCCUAAUACAUGCAAGUCGAGCGAACAGACGAGGAGCUUGCUCCUCUGACGUUAGCGGCGGACGGGUGAGUAACACGUGGAUAACCUACCUAUAAGACUGGGAUAACUUCGGGAAACCGGAGCUAAUACCGGAUAAUAUAUUGAACCGCAUGGUUCAAUAGUGAAAGACGGUUUUGCUGUCACUUAUAGAUGGAUCCGCGCCGCAUUAGCUAGUUGGUAAGGUAACGGCUUACCAAGGCUACGAUGCGUAGCCGACCUGAGAGGGUGAUCGGCCACACUGGAACUGAGACACGGUCCAGAGUCCUACGGGAGGCAGCAGUAGGGAAUCUUCCGCAAUGGGCGAAAGCUUGACGGAGCAACGCCGCGUGAGUGAUGAAGGUCUUCGGAUCGUAAAACUCUGUUAUUAGGGAAGAACAAAUGUGUAAGUAACUAUGCACGUCUUGACGGUACCUAAUCAGAAAGCCACGGCUAACUACGUG